CAUGGACUGUAAUUUAGUUCAAUUCAGAACUGCAGAUAGUACAGCUUCCACAGGAGCAAGGGAUGUCUGGGCACAAGUGGCUGAGUUCUGAGUGACUUUAUAAAGCACUUUCUACCUUCCUCCGGCAUGAAAACAGGGAUUCUGCACCUGCGUCAUGGACAGUCUGGCAAAAGCCUCUGCUCUGCCUCUGCGGACAAGGAACUAAAGCAAAUGACCAUUUUGAAAUUAGAUCCUGGCAAAAUUACCCACAAUGAAUGAUGGAAACUGAAGGCAGAUUGAUUUAAAUCUUCAAUGACAAUUGUACAGAAGUUGAAGAAGCAUGUCAUGUUUCCAAAGAAGAGUGAGGAGCUUGGUUGGUCAUGCCCUAAAAUUAGGGCAUGAUUGAGGUACGUCAUUUCUUUUAGUUCUGUCAAAGUGCUUUGCUCUUUCCAUUGCAGAGAAUUUCUUCUUCUUUUUUUCAAUCUCUCUCUCUUCCUCUUCUUCCUCUCAUUAGUAGAUGUCUUUUAUGAUUGAUGUCAUUUACUCUCCUUUCAUCAAACGUAUGCCACAUCACUUAGGCGAACCAGCAGACAGGACACCAAAACACACAUUAGAGGGGACUGGCUUCCAUGAGACGCUUCGACUGUCUCAUCAGAGCACUUGUAAUAAGCAUCUUGGUGCCACUGAAUGCAAUGCUGUAUUUAAAUAAUAGCUUUCAUCUUCACUCUUUUUAAAUAUAAAAGUAAACCUUGAAGCCCUUUGAAGGACCUCACUAAACAACAUACGUAUGAAAAUAGAUCAGUAAGGCUUUGAGAAGCAUUCUUAAGUAAAAUCUGUAAAGCAUCUUUGCAUUUUUUUCAAAAAAGACCUCCAGGUAAAUGAUGGCUUUUAAUAAGACACAUGACAAUCUCAAUUACAAGAAUCAUUAGUGUGUGCCCUGCGUGCCAUUUUAUGUUCCCAGCAGGAUAUAUCUUUUCUCAUCAAGGGUUUCCAGGGCUGUCUACUGUUCUCUGUGUGUAAAACAUAUUCAAGUGUUCCCCCAGUGCUGAGCUAAUGUUAAAAACGAAGCAAAACAAAACAAAAACCGAGAAAACCUUCGUCAAGUGGUCAGACAGACUGGAACUAGAGGAUUAUAGGUAAGACGGAUAAAAUGAAGGGUUGAAAGCUAUAAUUUCUAUUCUCGUGGUGGCAACCACAUCAGCUAUUGGAGUCAGGCAAUUUAAAGAUGUGGCUACUGGAGCUCAGAGUCUGGGAGGAAGACACCUCUGCAUCUGACAGUGACUCAGGCCCCAGUUUUGAAGAUGUGCUGUAGGUGAUCCCUUGCUGGAUCCAUUUCCCAGUUAGUUUCUAUUCCUCGCUCCGUUCCUGUGUCCCCACACUUUCCACUUGAUUUGAUCUCUUUGACCAUUCCGUAUUUUACCUUCCUUCUCAUUCCUCUUUCCCUACCCUUUUGUUUUAACUGUAGUUUCUUGGCCUCUGGCUACUGUUCCGUGCUGGAUGUCCCCAGGAAUCAGAUUAAGUUUAGAAAGGAGGCAGUGCAUCCCAGAAGGGCCUGUCCAAUCCACUAGUUCAUUUUUGAACAUGUUGUGUUCUACGUGUGUCAGGAACAUUUGUAGAUGAAGUAAUUUGAGGCAUGAAUUUUGAUAGAAUCGGGGACACCAAUAAAAUGAUAAAUUUACGUACCUGUCUAAUUUGCGUGAUAUUCACUGGGAUCUUGAGAAUUCAAUUUAUAAUUUGUCUUUAUUCUUAUUUUUCAUUAGAAUUAACAGAAUCCCAGAGCUUGUAGAAAAUAUAGAAACUGUAUAAUACAACCCUCAUAUUCAGAUGAAGAAAAUGAAGCACAAAAAAUAAUCUGUCCUAAGCCAUUCAGCUUGUCUCUAAGUGCUAUUGGCUUAAUUAUAGUUUUCCAUAUAUUUAGACAAGAAAAUACUUUCUCAGAAACUGGUUAGGACUGUUUGAGAAGAAAUAUAAUCGUCAAAACAUAUACACAGUAAAAUAUAACCAUCCAUCAUUUAACAUAGGCAAGAAUAUGUAUUGAAUUGCCUGAGUGUGUUAUUCACAUAGCAAAACUUACUUUGAUGGUAAAUAAAUCUUCUGACUUCUGUAUAUGUAUAACAUAUAUAAACCAGCCAAAUUCUGUACAUAAAUAAAUAUUAUUUUUGGAUACCAGUACAAUCCCUAUUUCACUUUUUUUUUGCAUUCCAGUUAUUUAUUACUUACAGUUCUGUAGUUUUAACCAGAACAAAGGGAUUACCCAGAAGAAAAGAAGGUAAGCUAUUUCAUCAGUUUUGCUGGAGAUCAGAAGGUUUUGUUUUCUAUUAUCAGCUUUGUAUUCUUUUAAAAAAAAUGAAGGAAAAAAAAAUCUCAUCUUCUCAUUUCUAAGGAUUCCCAUAAAAAUUGGCAGUGGUGAGGUGGGGAGGAAAAGCAUUGCCAAUAAACAGCUAGAUUCUAUUACUGGAGGCAAUCAGCUUUAUUCUACAGAAAUAUAGUUUGUUCUUGAAUGUAUAAUAGACAUAAUAUUUUUAAAACCAACAUAUUAAAUACACCAGUAAAUAUUUUUGUUAAGCAAGGCUUUUAAACUUUAAAUUAUACCCCUAAACUGGCUUUCUAGUUUUCUAAAGAAAUAAAGUAAUUUUAAAGGAAAUAAGCACUCAGAUUAAUAUUUUAAAUACCAUACAAAAAUGUGUGUGGUGAUGUUAUUGAAAAUGAGGAUUUUUGAAAACUAAAAAAGCAAAAAGUCAUUGCUCCAAAAGCCUUCAAGACUGUCUUAAGAUUAGCAAUGCAAGUCUUAGAUGUAUUUAGGAAAUAUAAUUUUAUUAGCUUUCUAAUUAUAAGCGUAUUUUGAUUCAGAUGUUUAAAAUAUGGUCAUCUCUUCAGGCAAAGAUGAACAUUUUGAUGAAAUAACAAUACUUGAGGUGUUUUCUAUUUCCACAAUUAAGAGCUAACUGUUAUUUUUUCAGAUCAUAUGUUUCAGUCUCAAAAUGUUGAGAACACAUCUCAAUGAAAUAAAAAUAAUCUUUUUUUUUUAAAGAAACCAGAAUCAUGUGGCAGUCGGCAGGCUUAAUUUGUAUUUUAUGGACUCCAAAUUCAGAUGAAUGUCAUCAAGAUCUGAAUUGUCUCCAUGGCUGUCAUAAUUUAAAUAGUAAUAUCAAAAAUAUACACUGCUAUCAUAUAAUUAAUUCUGAUAUAGAGAAACUUGAAUUUUCUUAGCCAAAAAACACACGGGGAAAUCAUCACAAUGAGGAUGAACAUAAAUAUUUUUUCUUGGUACUCUAUAGACUUCUCUGUAACAGUCGAUAUGAAGAUAUCAUCAGAGUUUGCAGGUGUAAAGGUAUCUAUAAUCAAAUAUAGCUGAAAUAAUGAGGCUUCACACCAACUGCCUUUCCUAGAAUCAUCACAGACAGGAAGUACAGCUGGGUAUCACCUGCCUAUAUUCCACAAAUAGCACUGAAGGACCUAACUCAAUGAAACUUGAAAUCAGGUUGCACAAAAAUACAUUAUUCCCAAUUUCUAUUUUCAUAUUGCUAGAUAAAUUAUAAAUUCACAGCAACAUUUGUCUUUAGUUUACAAAAUCAUACUAAAUUUUGAGUGACACCUUUAGCCAGGGAACCCUAGAAAUAUCUUUUGGCUAAUAAGUAAAAAGUUCAUAAUGUGCACUAGAGAAAACAUUUCCAGAGCUAAUGUAAGAGUUUUCGAAAGACACAAUAAAAGGUAUAUUUUCAUCAAACGCUUAUAUUGUUUAGAAAUUGGACUGUGCUUUAGUAUUUUAUCAACUAAUUUUCAAUCACAAAGAAAAUUUAGAAAGAGAUGAAAGAGAAAUAAAAGUCUUAUUAGGAAGAGUAAUUAUAUAGAUAGUAGAAUGACUACUUUUUACAAGAAGCAGUAAUUUCAUAAUGUAAUGGCCUCCUUUUCAGAAACAAGAAAGUGAUUAACAAAGCUAAACAUUUACACAGGGCAAUGUACCAUAUAACUCAAAAUGCCAGGGCAAAAAAUGUUAGUUAAUAAAUGGAGAUUCAAUGCUUGUCUGUAAUCAUUAGUCAUAGUUUCUGCACUUAGAAGGAAAACUCUCCCCAGGAGUUGAGAAUUAGAGUGGAGGUAGAGAUUUUGAGUAUGAGAAAAGGGAAUUUCAUUCAUCUUGCAGGGUUACACUGCUAUGAUGGAAGGCUUUCAUUUUUCAAGCAGGAAACAUGGAAAUUAUAGUAACUAUGGUCAAUUUAUAUUGGCCUAGAGAACACUUUAUUUCUCUCUGGCCCAGAAUUUCUCAACAGGUGCCACCAUUGAUACUUUGGACCAGAUAAUUCUUUGUCCUUGGAAGAUUUGCUGUGCAUUGGAGGAUGUUUAUCAGUAUUAUUGACUGCUUUCCACUAGAUUCCAAUAGGACUCCCUCCCACUAUGGUGAUACCUAUAUAUUGCUGAAUGUUCUCUAGAGAACAAAAUCUGCUUACACUACUUGUCUAGGCAUUUUUGCUUUCUUCAUUUAUCUUUAUGCAAAAUGAGUUUUAUUGGUCCUUUGCAUUAACAUUAAUAGGAAAUUUGCAUAGAGAAAACUUAUGUAUUAAAAGUAGCUCUAUACUGCAAACGUUUCUGCAGGACAUAAAAAUAAGAAUCGCACUGGUGCAUUCAUCUCUUGAAAUAUUUGCUGUACAAUACAUAUUGAAUGCUGAGAGAUACUGAAUGUAGGCUCAUAUUUUGUGCCUUGUUUGAAAAUUUGCAAUGUAAGUAAAGUAAAUCGAUGUAAAAUGCUUGCCUUUGGGCAUGAAAAAGUUUUCUUUUGUAUUAUAGUUAAAUAUGGUAAUAUGUUUUUAGAGGUAACUUUCUGUGGCAGUGAACAAAACAAGACCCUACUAUAAUGAUUCCACGUGCAGCUGAUUUUAACAGAACAGUAGCCUUCACUGUGCUUUUCCAUAAAUGUUGGUUUUAUCCAUGUAUUAAAGCACAGGUUUCUUGGGAGAACACCCUAAAUAGUGAGAGUGAAAGAUAAAAUCUGAAGAGAAUUUGGAAAUCGUCAUUGAAUGGAGCUCAUAAACAUGCUAAUUAUGUCUAAAAUUUGGACUGUCAACAUUUUUUUAACUAAUGAUGAGAUGGUAGAGAAGUUAUUAACUUAAUACGCCUCUAUGUGUGUGUGUAUGUGUGUGUGUGUGUGUGUGUGCGUGUGUGUGUGUGUGUGUGUCUGUCUGUCUGUCUUUUGGUGGAAAUAAAUUCAUAAGAAAGGAAAAAAUAGUAGUCACUUGGAAGCCUAGGAGGCAAGUCAAUAAAAAAGAAAUAUCCAGGUAGUAUGAAAUCUUAAGCUUUACACAAUAGAAAUAAAAAUAUUAUAUGGAAUUGAACUAUUAUUGUUUCAAAAAUGGUGAAAAUUGUUAAACCAGUAACUUGUAGCUUAGUUUGU